CUACCCCAGGGCAUGGCAGGGAGCCUCAGGCGGACGGCCUGGGGGCAAGCAGAGGCAGAGUGAAGGCGGAACCCUUCAGGAGGCCGGCGGCAAGGACGAUGAGGGCUCAGUCCCUCAGGAGACCUGCAGUGGCACAGAACCCCCUCAGAAGGCCGGCAGCGGUGAAGGCGGAACCCUUCAGGAGGCCGGCGAAGGCGAGGUAGAGGGCGGGUCCCCUUAAGAGGAAGGCCAGGUAGAGGGCGGGUCCCCUCAGGAGGAAGGCCAGGUAGAGGGCGGGUCCCCUCAGGAGGCAGGCCAGGUAGAGGGCGGGUCCCCUCAGGAGGCAGGCCAGGUAGAGGGCGGGUCCCCUCAGGAGGCAGGCCAGGUAGAGGGCGGGUCCCCUCUGGUGGACAGGGUAGAGGGCGGGUCCCCUCUUGUAGAAGGCCAGGCAGAGGGCGGGUCCCCUCUGGUAGAAGGCCAGGUAGGAACGGAGGGCGUGCCUCCCCUGGACGGUCUGGAGGGCGGACCCCCUCCGGCAGGAGCAGAGGCCGGUCCCCCUCUGGAAGGCGAGGAGCGGGCUCAGGAACCGGACAGGGCUCGGGGACCGGAGUCAGUGCGGGAGCUGGAGUGCCAGGAGGAACCGGGUGGUACCCCAAACUCUUCCAGCGAUCUAUUGCCUUCAUAAUAAAUAAAUCCUCCCACUCACGGCUAACUUGAUCGUCCGCUGGGUCCAUUGUCUUAUUUAUUUUGGCUAUCAAAUCCUCCAACUUACGGUCAAAUUGCGCGUCCGCUGGGUCCCAUCGUGACGGUGCUGUCAUUCUGUUAAGG
ensembl:lncRNA